AUUGAACGCUGGCGGCAUGCCUAACACAUGCAAGUCGAGCGGAGCGGCGGACGGGUGAGUAAUGACUAGGAAUCUGCCUGGUAGUGGGGGAUACCGUCCGGAAAGGGGCGCUAAUACCGCAUACUAUCAGAUCAGCCUCGGUCGGAUUAGCUAGUUGGUGGGGUAAAGGCCUACCAAGGCGACGAUGCGUAACGGGUCGGAGAGGGUGAUCGGUCACACUGGGACUGAGACACGGGCCAGACUCCUACGGGAGGCAGCAGUGGGGAAUCUUGGACAAUGGGCGAAAGCCUGAUCCAGCCAUGCCGCGUGGGUGAAGAAGGGUUUCGGAUUGUAAAGCACUGUAAGUUGGGAGGCGGUACCAACAGAAUAAGCACCGGCUAACUUCGUGCCAGCAGCCGCGGUAAUAC
rnacentral:rRNA from 1 species